AGUGAACGCUGGCGGCGUGCUUAACACAUGCAAGUCGAACGCGAAAGGGGAGGCAAUCCCAAGUAGAGUGGCGAACGGGUGAGUAAUGUGUGGGUAAUUUGCCUUUCAGCGGGGGAUAACCCGGGGAAACCUGAGCUAAUACCCCAUAACAUGGCUUGAUCUUCGGAUCGAGUCAUCAAACGAUGGCCUCUGCUUGCAAGCUAUCGCUGGAAGAUGAGCCCAACGAUCCUAUCACGCUUGUUGGUAGGGUAAUGGCCUACCAAGGCGAC
rnacentral:rRNA from 1 species